CUGAGUUGCUUCCUGCAGAAGUUAGCCCAAUAGCAUAUAACCGUGCCUCUUUUUUCCCCAUUCUCUUCAGCGCUGUUUUAAUAGUGUUAAAUAUUUGUACCUCGUGAUAGUGCAAAAUUAUGUCCCCAUGUUUCAAUCCUCUCUCCUUUGAUUACUAGAAAUGUUGAAGUGUUUUCAUUAUUAAGCACAGGUGUAAAUCCAUUUCUACAGUUUUGCUAACUUUUCUUGGUUUGGUAAUGUCUUUAUCACCAAUUUAUGUGAAUUUAGAUUAUAGUAAGUUUAUUAAACCUUUGUGAUGUAUUUGUUAUAAAUAUUUUUCUGAAUCAUUAGAUAAGUUAUAAUUUUGUUAAUUAUAUGUGUUGGCCCACAGAAGUUUAAAAUUGCUAUGUACUCAAAAUUUUUCCAUUGUGGUUUACUUAAUACAUUUUCACACUUAGAAAUUUCUUCCUUGUCUGGUGUUGCUUAUGCUUUCUUAGAAUUUAUUAUGUCCUUAUGUAUUUAAUGCUUUUAUUUUGAUAAAUGGUGAAAAUAAAAAUCAAAACACUUCUUCCC
rnacentral:lncRNA from 10 species